rnacentral:rRNA from 1 species
GUCCACGCCGUAAACGAUGGGUGCUAGGUGUGGGGUGUCGACUCCCUCCGUGCCGCAGCUAACGCAUUAAGCACCCCGCCUGGGGAGUACGGCCGCAAGGCUAAAACUCAAAGGAAUUGACGGGGACCCGCACAAGCAGCGGAGCAUGUGGUUUAAUUCGAUGCAACGCGAAGAACCUUACCAGGGCUUGACAUGCACUGGAAAACCGUAGAAAUACGGUCCUCCUUCGGGAUCAGUGCACAGGUGGUGCAUGGCUGUCGU